UCCGGUUGACCCUGGCGGAGGUUACUGCUAUCGAGGUUCGACUAAGCCAUGCGUGUCGAAUGUAGCAAUACAUGGCGUACUGCUCAGUAACACGUGGACAACCUACCCUUAGGUCGGGGAUAAACCCGGGAAACUGGGUAUAAUACCCGAUAGUCCUCGAAUGCUGGAAUGCAUCGAGGUCUAAAGCUCCGGCGCCUAAGGAUGGGUCUGCGGCCUAUCAGGUAGUAGUGGGUGUAGCGUACCUACUAGCCUACGACGGGUACGGGUUGUGAGAGCAAGAGCCCGGAGAUGGAUUCUGAGACACGAAUCCAGGCCCUACGGGGUGCAGCAGGCGCGAAAACUUUACAAUGCUGGCAACAGCGAUAAGGGGACCUCGAGUGCCAGGUUACAAAUCCGGCUGUCGUGAUGCCUAAAAAGCAUUGCAUAGCAAGGGCCGGGCAAGACCGGUGCCAGCCGCCGCGGUAACACCGGCGGCUCGAGUGGUAACCGUUAUUAUUGGGUCUAAAGGGUCUGUAGCCGGCCGGAUAAGUCUCUUGGGAAAUCUGGCAGCUUAACUGUCAGGCUUUCAGGAGAUACUGUCUGGCUCGAGGCCGGGAGUGGUGAGAGGUACUUCAGGGGUAGGGGUAAAAUCUUGUAUCUGAAGGACCACC
rnacentral:rRNA from 1 species